CCUACGGGAGGCAGCAGUGGGGAAUAUUGGACAAUGGGGGGAACCCUGAUCCAGCGACGCCGCGUGAGUGAAGAAGUACUUCGGUAUGUAAAGCUCUAUCAGCAGGGAAGAAAAUGACGGUACCUGACUAAGAAUCCCCGGCUAACUACGUGCCAGCAGCCGCGGUCAUACGGAGGGGGCAAGCGUUAUCCGGAUUUACUGGGUGUAACGGGAGCGUAGACGGUGUAGCAAGUCUGGAGUGAAAGGUCGGGGGCCAACCCCGGGACUGCAUUGGAAACUGGUGAACUGGAGUGCGGGAGAGGUAAGCGGAAUUCCUGGUGGAGCGGUGAAAUGCGUAGAUAUUAGGAGGAACACCAGUGGCGAAGGCGACUUACUGGACUGUAACUGACGUUGAGGCUCGAAAGCGUGGGGAGCAAACAGGAUUAGAUACCCUUGUAGUC
rnacentral:rRNA from 1 species